UACGGAAGGGGCAAGCGUUGUUCGGAAUCAUUGGGCGUAAAGGGCGCGUAGGUGGUUCCGUAUGUCUACCGUGAAAGCGUACGGCUCAACCGUAUUUUGUCGGUGGAAACUGCAGGACUUGAGGCUGGGAGGGGCUGGUGGAAUUCCCUGUGUAGCGGUGAAAUGCGUAGAGAUGGGGGAGAACACUCGUGGCGAAGGCGGCCAGCUAGACCAGUUCUGACACUGAGGCGCGACAGCGUGGGGAGCAAACAGG
rnacentral:rRNA from 1 species